GACGAACCGAGCGAACGUUAUUCGGAAUCACUGGGCUUAAAGGGUGCGUAGGCGGGCACGCGAGUCAGGGGUGAAAUCCCACGGCCCAACCGUGGAAGUGCCUCUGAUACAGCGAGUCUCGAGGGGGAUAGGGGCGUGCGGAACUUCCGGUGGAGCGGUGAAAUGCGUAGAUAUCAUUUGGAACGCCAAUGGUGAAAACAGCUCGCUGGGAAUGAUCUGACACUGAGACGCGAAAGCCAGGGGAGCGAACGGG
rnacentral:rRNA from 1 species